rnacentral:rRNA from 1 species
AGAGUUUGAUCAUGGCUCAGGACGAACGCUGGCGGCGUGCUUAACACAUGCAAGUCGAGCGGUAAGGCCCUUUGGGGUACACGAGCGGCGAACGGGUAAGUAACACGUGGGUGACCUACCCUCUACUCUGGGAUAAGCCUGGGAAACUGGGUCUAAUACCGGAUAUGACACAGUCUCGCAUGGGGUUGUGUGGAAAGUUUUUCGGUGGGGGAUGGGCCCGCGGCCUAUCAGCUUGUUGGUGGGGUGAUGGCCUACCAAGGCGACGACGGGUAGCCGGCCUGAGAGGGCGACCGGCCACACUGGGACUGAGACACGGCCCAGACUCCUACGGGAGGCAGCAGUGGGGAAUAUUGCGCAAUGGGCGGAAGCCUGACGCAGCGACGCCGCGUGGGGGAUGACGGCCUUCGGGUUGUAAACCUCUUUCGGCCCCGACGAAGCGUGAGUGACGGUAGGGGUAGAAGAAGCACCGGCCAACUACGUGCCAGCAGCCGCGGUA